rnacentral:rRNA from 1 species
UUACACAUGCAGUCGAACGAACUCUUCGGAGUUAGUGGCAGACGGGUGAGUAACGCGUGGGAAUAUACCUUUCGGUACGGAACAACAGUUGGAAACGACUGCUAAUACCGUAUGCGCCCUAUGGGGGAAAGAUUUAUCGCCGAAGGAUUAGCCCGCGUUGGAUUAGCUAGUUGGUGGGGUAAAGGCCUACCAAGGCGACGAUCCAUAGCUGGUCUGAGAGGAUGAUCAGCCACACUGGGACUGAGACACGGCCCAGACUCCUACGGGAGGCAGCAGUGGGGAAUAUUGGACAAUGGGGGCAACCCUGAUCCAGCCAUGCCGCGUGAGUGAUGAAGGCCCUAGGGUUGUAAAGCUCUUUCAGCGAGGAGGAUAAUGACGUUACUCGCAGAAGAAGCCCCGGCUAACUUCGUGCCAGCAGCCGCGGUAAUACGAAGGGGGCUAGCGUUGUUCGGAAUCACUGGGCGUAAAGCGCACGUAGGCGGAUUGGUCAGUUAGGGGUGAAAUCCCAGAGCUCAACUCUGGAACUGCCUUUAAUACUGCCAGUCUUGAGUCCGAGAGAGGUGAGUGGAACUCCGAGUGUAGAGGUGAAAUUCGUAGAUAUUCGGAAGAA